GAAACGAACACGAUUAAAAUAGACCAAAAGAAAAGAAAGAAAAGAAAACCUUUCUAUGUACAGAUUCUAAAUCGUACUCCCCAUACAGUCAGAGGCAGGGAGUCGAGGGCAGAGGCAGCAGGCGGAGAGAGGGAGAUAGGGCGAGGGAAGGAGAACGCGGAGAGAGACGAAGGGAGUGGGAGACCAGCGACAGCGAGCGCCAGGGCACCGCAGGCACACUGGAUGCCCAGUCCGCCGGCCCAGCCGCCCUCGGACCCUGGACCGUGCGUCGUGGGCACCAGAAACGAGACUCGGCCAAAUCCUGCCUCACCAGCAGGUAGAUGAAACUCAAGAGAAAAGGUGUGGAUAAAUGAAACUAGCCCAUGAUGAACCUGUUUUCUCCGUGACCACAAUAUUAACCAGGAUGAAUGGCGGUGGCAGUGGGCCUGCAUCACAGGUUGCAGCAGAUGUUCUCAAUAUUUCUAUUAAAAUUUCCUUAUUUCCAUAUGCAAGAGGAGCCCCAGAGCUGCAUCCUUAUGGUAGCUACCAUGCCGUGAUGUAAGCUGCCAUUCACUGGGGAGCUUUGGCAAUAGAAUUGGCUAGAUCAGGAAGCCUAUGUCAACUAUGGAACAACAACUUGCAGCUCAUCUCUAUUGAUGAGUAAAAGAAUAUGGAAUUUUAGCUCCAGAUCAAUUUCAAGAACAAAUCAGGAAUCCCGAGAGGACCCGCAGACCCUCUGAAGGAAGCAGACUGCUCCUGUAGAACCCGGGAGACACCCCAAAUACUGGGAGUGCCCCAACUGCAGAAUUGGGAAAGGGAGAGCCUCCUGUACUGAACACACAGCUCCACUGGAGAAACUGAAGGUCUGUUUGUGGGAGAAGUUUCUGACUUUACCUGAAGCUGAGUCAAUUUAGAGAGCUGAGCAGGGGUAGAGGAAGCAGCGGAAAGGCCUUGGGAGCUGACUCAGUCCCCUAGCAGGCCAUUCUUGCCCAGCACCACAGGGAUCCAUUGGGAGGGUGGCCAGAAGAGUGGGAGGUGUUGGGGAACACCACAGGGAAAAGGUAAUCUUCAGCUAAAUUUUGUAACAAUUUGAACAGGGUGAGAAGCUUCCUGGCCAGAACUCAGGGGAGGGCACAGAACUGUUGUGCAGACUCCACUGGCAGAGGAAGAACCAAGCCCUUUACUUUUGCAGCUGGGAGGCGUACUCGCCUGCCUCACCCACAACCUGGAAACAGACUCAGGGUC
ensembl:lncRNA NR2F1-AS1 NR2F1 antisense RNA 1